AUGCCAGGCAGGGUGUGGAGCCGUGGCUGCCCGGGUUUCUGGGGCAGGCUGGGCAAACAUCUGCCAGGGAAGGUCGGGGCUGAGCGGAUUGUGCUGGUGGCAGGUGCUGCUUCAUCCCAGCGACCUCUCGGGCUCCCUCCGGCCUCAUGCUCAGUGAUCCUGCUUUUCUUCCACCAGAAAUGCCAGCCCGGCCCUCCCUUCCCUCUGCCAGAGCAUGCACAGCAGGUUUAUCGGCUCAGUCCUCAUCAUUUUUGCCAACGUUUUUCACAGUUGCUCCUUUCACCACAGGUGUAUCAGUCUCCCAUGAAAUCUUCCAGCAGGAGGAGUACCCCGAGGUGGGAAUAACUCCAUCCUGAAGGUUUGGCCUCAGGCAAAUUGUAGAAAGAGAAGGAAUCGUUCUGUGGGAAGGUGAGAGAGCACCUCUCGUGUUCCCAGCGCUCGCUUCCCAGGAAUCUGCCCCUCAGGGGCUUCCCCAAGUGGUCACAGCCCCGCUUUCCACAGGCUGGUCCCCUUCUCCCGCGGAGCCCCGGUGCCAGCCCCACAGCGUCCCUCAGCAGCGCCUCCGUCCCUCGCUCCGUGCUCUUCUCCCAUCGUGGGAUGCCCCCUAAUGCUCACAGCGCAGCAUCCCGGCCUGCAGCCGCGUGUCAGCACGAAUCGGGCUCCAGAAUCCUCUCUCCAGCCCCCCUGGUACAUUCUGGGCUCCAGAAUCCUCUCUCCAGCUCCAUCACAUCUCUCAGCAGCCCAAUCCCUGUUUCCAUGAUGAAGCUAAUCGUGAGAGGUUACAAAAGCUUUGCUGGAGCGAAUGGAAAGGUGAAUUAAGCGCCAGAAAACUCAAAUUCGGGCUCGGAGGCAAAAAAUGACACCAGAGAAUGUGGAUUUUGGUGGUUAUGGGCUGUAAAUUUGCUGUUACUGCAGAUCAUUUUUAGCGUGUUCAGCGCUUCCCAAAUGUGCUGAUAGUGAAAAGGAAACAGCGAGAGAGUAACAGAGCCCUCACAAAUCCCCCGUGUCCCAAAGCGUCCCUGAUGCUUCUCAGAUGGAUUAAAUGUGCCACGCAGGGGUCUGGAAAGGGCGGGUCUG